GACGGAGGAUGCAAGUGUUAUCCGGAAUCACUGGGCGUAAAGCGUCUGUAGGUGGUUUAAUAAGUCAACUGUUAAAUCUUGAGGCUCAACCUCAAAAUCGCAGUCGAAACUAUUAGGCUAGAGUAUAGUAGGGGUAAAGGGAAUUUCCAGUGGAGCGGUGAAAUGCGUAGAGAUUGGAAAGAACACCAAUGGCGAAAGCACUCUGCUGGGCCGACACUGACACUGAGAGACGAAAGCUAGGGGAGCGAAUGGG
rnacentral:rRNA from 1 species